ensembl:lncRNA
CGGGGAGGAGGGUGCGCGGCGGAGGGGGAGUCGGGGAGGGGCCGCGCCGGGUCCUUGCCCGUAGCGGGCACGGCCGGGGGCCCCGGGAGGCCUUGUUGGUAUUCCGGGCACAGCCGAAGCCCUGAUCUCCCCGCGGAACUGGGGCGCCCGGGAGCGCUGCACGGCCGCCCCCCCUGGGCGGUCUCCCCCAGGCUGCGGGGCCGUAGGCGCCUCGCUCCCCCCGCCCAUCCCCUCCUCUCCAGGUCCCCCGGACCCCCUCCCCCGCCCUGAUCCGGCGGCGAAGGGGUGGGCAGGGAAACGCGCUCUCUGGGACAGGUGCCAACUCCGAGACAAAAGACAUAAAAUAGGCGGCAACGGGGGAAGCGCGGCCGGCGCGCUCGGGCGGGGACGGAGGCGCCGCGGGGGCCGCAUCCUCGGUGAUGAUCGGGGAAAGUUUGGGAAGUCGCCGCGGCGGCUUCGCGGCGGCGGGGGACACGCGGGCCGGGCCGCCCUCCGCGCCGCGCUCGCCCUCUCCGCGCCGCUGCUGAAUAAUUCAUGGCGCGGCCGCCGGCCAUUAGCAUGCACCGGGCGCGCGGCGCGUCUGUGCCCAGUCGCCGCCGCCGCCGCCGCCGCGGCAUUCGGCGCCCCGGCCGCGCUAGAUGAGCGGCCGCGCGGAGGCCGAGCCCGCGCUGUCCCCGCGCUCACCCGCCGGUCCGCUGGCCGGCCGGCUCCCAUUGUGCCCCGGGCCUGCGCCCCGGGCUGUCCGGUGACCGCCCGCGCCCCGCAGCGCGCCCGACGGCCGGGCGCUGGAAGUUUGGGCCCACGGCGCUCGCCCGCCUGCCCCGGGAUGCACGUGAACUUGGAGAAAGUCGCCGGGUGCGCUGGCGCGGACCUCCGUGGCAGGGCGUGGGCGCCCCCGGCCCCGCGCGCUUUCGUUUUCGCCCCGGACAAAGGUCCCUCGCGGCGCAGGUCGCGGACGUGGAGACCGUGUCCUGCGGGUCACUCUGCGGGUUGGUCCGAUCGUUCAACCCGGGGAAGCCGCAGCGAGAAGAGGACGAGCGGCGCGGUCGGAGGCGCGGUGCGGGACCCGGGGAGUGGGGCCUGGCCGUGCGCUUCGCCCGCGCCGUCCCGGAGCUGUCCCGCCCUGGGAAGAGUUGUGGGAGAUGGCACUGCUUUGCUCUCUGCCCCUGUCGCCGCGUGAAGGGGAGAAUCAUUUUGGAAGCCAGGACUCGGACCGAUGGGCCAGGGCCUGUGCAGCCGUGGGUGCGAUAGCGCAGUGCCGGCUGCGUCCGAGCGCGAUCCUCCGGCAAGGGCAGAGCUGCCGACCAGCGCGCCCCAGGCUCGGUCGGGUUCAAGGCGACACUUGAGGAUGGUAAGUGCAUUUCUCACUUUCGCUACUUAGUGAAUAUUUAAAUAUUGAUGAAGGGAUUUCUAAGAAGAGCCCUUUUGUAGGGCAGGCCUUCCGCAGACCCGGGGACCUGGGAAGGAAGGUUGAUCUUGGACCCGAAGCUGCCCCAGCUUGCAGCAACUCCAUGGCCGUCGUUAAAAUUUUGGAACUUGGAAUUUGUGAAAUACAGCUUUUAAUCUCAGAUGUGUGCCGGCCAUUUGCCAGAGAGAAUUUGGUUGAACACGUCAAAUAGCAGGCCUCCUAAAUGGAACAUGAGGAAAAGAGAAAACAGUUUUUAGAUCAGACGUGUUCUGAAAGGUUGUUUGGAAGCCACAGCCCUUUCUUGAAAAACUGAAAUCUUUCAUUCACUUCCUAAACCAUCAGUGCUGCUUAUUUUUUUUUUCCCUGCUGGUCAGGCAUUUAUGGAGAGCUGGUUUAGGGCGGCCCUGGGUCAAGGACUGGCCGCUCUGGCCCUUGGAGUGAAAGCCCCGUGUGUGGAUGCUGUUGUUUAUGGUGGCAUAAAACAAAAACAACUCAUAAUUUUUCAUAAUAAAUCCCUCUUUAUAGAUGGGUCACACACAGGCCCAGCCCACAGCCCUGGGGAAUUUGUGGGGAGCAAGAAAGGGGUAAAGGAAUGCAUGUUUGCCGUAAUUACAGGGUUUUAAGGUAACGCUGAAAUUAAUUUCUUCAAAGUUGGGCUUCAGAGGCCACGACCGUCUCUGUAGGCCAGCACUAUGUUCAUUUUAUUUUAGUUCGUUGCUUUUAGCUGUUUGGGAUUUUUAAAAAGCAUGUUUGCGUGUUACUUACCCUGUUAAAAUGAAACCCAUAACUGGGAGAUUAAACCCGCUUUUUAAUAUGAUCGUAUCACAGGUGCGAUUUCCCCUUUACUCUGCCUCAUCUUAUUGAUGUGGUUUGGACAACCUUGCGGGGUGCUUUGACCACAACAUAAUGGGGAGGGGGGGCCUGUUUCCAUAACUCCCCAGUGCUGUGAGCUGGUGCUCAGAGGCCAUGUUUCCGGGAACGUGGACAGAGGCCUGCGUAGCCCAGGCCUGCCUAAUGCCUCCCUCUCCCAGGGCUGCCUGGUUUCCAGAACCGAGAGGAGAACCCAGAGGAACGAAGAGACGGUUUCAGUAAGGUCCUGCUCACCUGGCCCCAAGGCUGAAGGUUUGCUUCUGUGAACUACUGUAGAGCCAUCCUCGCCAUCUUUUUAGCUAGGCCAUCGCCCCUUACCCCAGUGCCCUGUUUUGAAUUUGUCUUUAUGACUUUAUCAGAGGCAGCUAGUAGACUUGAAACACGGGAAGAGACACUGGGGAGUGGCCUCAGAAAUGGCGGGUGGCUUGCCCCUCUGGCCAGGAGCUGACACUGGCCAUGGUGUUGGCAGCGAUGGGUUAGUAAUUACAAAAAGCCCGGGCUCCGCUGGGGCCUUGCUUGUAAAAUGCAGGAGACAUUCUCCUGGGUCCACAGAUGACCUGUAGUGUAGCGCACGAUGGGCAGGCAUGAUGUGGCCUUCUGCUUAGACUGUUGGGCAUCCCCCGGGGUUAAAGCAGACCCCAAAAUAAGGGGCGUUGGUUGCUCCCUCUGAGAGCCCACGGGCCAGACACCAGGAGUACAGAGAGGCCUGAACAUGCGAGGAGGCACCCCCAGGGCCACUCAGCUGGGGGCUACUGUUCAUCCGGCUCCAGGGGCCCAGCACCGCCCCCCUCCCCUCCCCCGGCACAGGGGAUGUAUUGGGGCUGAGAGGCCACAGCCAACAGCCGGGUCGGCCCCGUGGAGGGAGGCUCUGCCUCGGCACCGCGCCAUCCUGUCCUGCCUUUGUCCUUGUCCUUAGGGCCAGCCCGACACCCUGGAGACUCCUCGUGGAGACCCGAGUCCCGGCCAGGGGCUUCUUACUACGUAGGGAGGUCUUCUCACCAUGCGGGGAGGUCUUCUCACCAUGCGGGACAGUCUCAUCUGGAGAAAAUGCAUUUUUGAGGAUGUGUACAUGACACAAAGUUCGGAAAAUGGAUGUGGUGCCUGCCUGGUUUUUCUCAUGGGGUUUCGGGGAAAGAGUGUGCUAAGCAGGGGCAGGGUCUUAAGGACUGCGGCGGGCUGGUGGGAGGGUGCCCUGCCACUCCUGUUUUUGUUUACAACCAGGGCCAGGCCCAGGGUGCCCCCUGGACUGCGCUGAGUCUUUGCCGUGCCCCACCUCUGGCCACUUCUGGCCCAGGGGGUCUCCAGGGUGCGGGUUCAGGUCUCCCCUGCCGCCUAAACAGGUACAGACAGCAUCUUGCUCUGCUCAGCGGGACCAGCGGGGAGCUUUGCCACAUGGGGGACGUUCGGGUCCCUGGAGUUUGCACCCAGCUGUGGUCGAUGCUGUGAAGGGGUCUCACUUGCUUCCAUCUUCAUCCCGGCGUGGACGAGGCCUGACAGGAAGGCGUCCCGUGGGGCCCAGGGAGGGGCUUGAGGGCUCUGCCCACCCUGAGGGGCUCUCUGGUGUCCAGGGUGACCAACGUGUGCCCUCGGUGAGGGACAGCGCUCGGGGAAGGAAGGAAGCCCCACAGACCAGGCAAGGAAACAUCUUCAAACCAUCAGGCCAGGCUGUUCUCAGGCUGGGAGGGUGUUUCUGCUUGUUAGGGAGCACAGAGCCGCCCCUGCAGUAAUCCUGCCAAGUGUGGGUGUCCUAGCUCACGGCCGGGCCACUCCAACCCGGUCCCCUGCCCCUGGCUCGCCGUGGGACCCUGGACAAGUCCUGUCCCUCCCAGGACCGCAGCCUACGCUCUCGAUCAGGAGAAAGAGCCCAGGCCUCGGAGGGUCCUUGGGAAGGUUCAGACGCGGUUAUUUCUACAAACCCCAGUUGGGGCACGUGACAGGGACUCCAUAAAUGGCUGUCGUCGUAAUUGUUUUCGUUGUAAAUGGUAAUCGCCAUUUUUAUUGCUGGUGGUUGUUAUAUUUUUGAUCUUCUAAGAAACAGGGAAGCUAGUUUUGGUUUCAUUGGAAAGGACACCUGGGUGUUCAUGACACACCCCUCCCUGCCCUGCCCAGGUGGUAGUGCGGGUGAACCUUGGUGAUUUCAAGGUAGACGACCAGGAGCUUCCGAGCCAGCGCCUUCCUCGUCAUGGAGACUUGGCUUAGGCACGUGCUCACGGAGGAGGUGCCUCUUCCUAGGCACCUUUUAGGAGUGGAAUCUCCUCAAGGAUGGCACUCACUAGGGAGCCGACCCCGGGGGUGCUGACCAGGGAGAGACAAGGGAAGACGUCCUGACCCAGGCGUCCAGGGUGCCCACGCCAGCCACUCGUCAUCCUUGUCUGCAAUUCAGGUGGGCAGUUUGAUGGGGCCUCAUCACUCUGACAAGCUAAUUGUUCUUUGACCCCAUACGAACGUGCCUUUACCAAGAUGCUUGCUUUAAGAGAGCUUUAUCUCUUAACUGGUCAUCCGGGAAGACCCAGCAAGAUUGCCCUUUCUCAAAACAUCUUGUCGGAACAAGAAAGAACCCCAGAUGGCAUCGGCCCUGCUUGCUGAUGUUACGGAGCCGAGGAGAGAAAAAGCAACAAUUGUCUCCCAGCAAAGACAAUGGACCUUUUAUAUGAAAUAUUUAUUUUCAGGGCCGACUGGUGUCCCGGUGGCUCAGCAUCGCAGGCCCUGAGAACUCAGUCAGGGACAAGAUGUACAGAAAAAGAAAAAAAAAGAAAAAAAAGAGUUCCUUGACCUGUGAUUCUUGGGGAAUUUCAGUGGGAAUGUCUGGCUUUCUUUACUGAUUGGCGUUUAAACUUUCACAAGUUCAUUUUCUCCCCCUCUGUGAUUUCUUCUGAAAGGCCGCUUGCAGGGGCCUGUUGGCACAUAGCAGAAAGGCAGCCAGGCUUUGGACCGUGGGCUAGAUGCAGCCUCGCUGGGGCCAAGCCUGGCUGGCCGUUGUCUGCUGGGGGGUGGGUCGCAGGACGGAAGCGGACUGGAGGAAGAAGGGUCCUCACGGGGGUGGGGGUGAAAGGAAAGCCACCAAGAGCCAGUCUUGGACAGUAUUUGUGAUUCUCCAGCGUCCCUUGCUCCUCCCCAGAUCGCGUUGUCCGAUGAACUUGGAAUCUGCCGGCAGCUUAUCAGAGUCUGGCGUAUUGGCGAAGCCACACGUAGGCCCAACACCCUCCUCGGCUGGACAGGCCUGGCCUAGGGUUCCUGCCGGAUGGAUGUUCUCCGAACUAACAGAACGAACAGGCUUUUACUGAGAGGCCUGCUCCAGAGCCACCCCCAGUUUCCCUGCCUUGUGGCUCGAGUGGGGCUCACGUUGCUGACCCAGGUUCCUGAUCAAGGCCCAGCUAGGAAGGCGGUCUGGGAAGUGAGGCCUGGAUCCCAGGCUCACAUUAGGGACCCCGGGAGGAACGGAUCAGGCUGGGGCUUGUGACGGGAACACUGGGGCACCAGUUUUCCUGGUGUAGGGCGUGGGGGGCGUUGGAAGGCCGUGGGGGGCCAUUGGCCCAGACCCCUACCGGCUUAAGGGGUCCUCCGUCUGGUGGGUGGAGGACAGGAGAGGGAGUGGCCCCCAUCAGGGUAAGUGGCAGGGUUUCCUCUUUACCCAAAAGGCUGUUGGCAAGUUAUAUUAGCUGGCUUCAAAAAUGAGGGGUUUUUAAAACAACAAGAACAACAAAAGAAACCUGCUGUUGCAUCUUAAAAAAAAAAUCCUGGAACCUCUUAAGUGGAGUCUGUUUCACUUUAUGCAUUAACGACCCCCCCCAAAAAAUGUAAUGAAGAGAGCUCUCUUUGGGCAGGGGUGAGGGCGGGGGCAGGGGGCACCUAUAACAGGCCCCGAGCCCAUGCUUGGAGUUGGUAAAAUGGAAAAGACUGAAAUCCCUUCCCAUGAGGCAGGACGACUCUAAAACACAGAUUUUAUUUACUUUUUUUUUUUUUUUUUUUGGAGAAGGGCUUUGCAAGUAAAAGGCUGCAAAGUCUUCCUGUGAAAUUUUGGAUGGAGUUGUGUUGUUUCAAGACUCUGGAUUCAGGAGUCUUGCCUUUAGGGACAGCUCAGAAAUCCUGUGGAUGGGUAAAUCGGCUGGCCGGGCCCACUGUUGUGACUCAGUGGCUAAGAGGUUUUCUGAGCAGAGUUGUGGGCCAGCAGAGGCGGUGGUUAUUAUCGCUAAAUGAGCCUGGCAGUUGUGGUUAGAAAAUGUGUGCAUGGGGCUUACAGAGCAAAGCCCAAAGUUUCUCUCUCUGUUUUUGGAGUAAUGGAAUUUCCCCUUAAGAUGGGUGGGGGCAAGCGUGUUGUCUCUGCUGCCUUCGGUUUCCGAUGCUGGGGCCAGGUUUUUCGGUGAAUCACCCUUCCUUUAAUUCUAGGAUUUGAGAUGGUUAGGAAGUUUAGCUGAAAUAUUACCUGCUGAUUUGGGGCUCUUAAAUCUAGAUUCGCCUUUCAUGUGUUUAAGAGCGAUAUUUACAUUCAAAUCAGUCUUUUAUAAUUACAUUUUAAAUUAUAAUGAAAUGAUGGAGCUGGGGCUCCAGUCUUCCAUAUGUUUUACCUGUGAGAGGUGCUCUGGUGGGCUGCACGGCACAUCACAGCCCUGGGCUCCACGCAGGUGUGAGCAGGCAUCGGACACGCAGGUGCUGGCCUGCAGGGCCACACGUGUGUCCUGAGCAUGUCCGAGGGCGUGCAUGUCACCUGCGGGGCCCUCCCCAGGCUCCCGGGAGGAGAAGGGCUUGUGGAUAAUUCUGACCUCAGCAUGGCCGCGAUGUUGCCAAACCUCGUGGCACUGGGCUCCCUCCCGGAAGGGCCUGGUUUGGACCUGGCUGCUCUCUUGGGUCUUGAGCCCCAUGCGGACCCGCAGGCCUUGGGGAUGGAGGCCUUGAUCUCCUGGGUGGCCAGCUGGGCACUUCUGGGGGUGGUGUGUGUGCCAGGUGGGGGAGGGGCGCCCUAACCCAGGUUCUGCCUCCUCUGCCUUGUUGGGGUGGCGCCCCCCGCCCCCGACCGCCUGCAGUUUUCCGUGGCUUCCCCCAUGGAGCAUGGGAGACCCUCUCCUCCCGGGCCCAGGCUGUUGGCAGCCGUGCCACGCGGUUUCUGGAAUGGAAUUCCCGGUGUUCUGGGUCAGGCGCGUGGCAUUGGAAUCCUACCUGCUUUGUCUCUGGCAUCAGCUGGUGAGCUGGUCACGUGGCUGUGUGCGUGAGCCCGGAGCCCGAGGACUAGCGGGCUCCUCCUGCCGCUUCCCUCCCGCUCCCCCUCUUGUGCCUGUGCCCUGGGCACGGCCAUCUCGUGCAACCAUAAAGCGGUGUUGAAACAAAACGCACUCCAGGCAGCCGGGGUGCAGUGGGAGCUCCAUCCGCGGGAAGGCCUGGAAGCCAGGGCAGACGCCCCGGGGCCCCUGAGCAAACUCCGGCCGCGGCGGCCCGGCCUCGGUCCCUGCACGCCGUCCCUUCUGCCCCCAGAGCUGGCUCUGCUUGCCCGGGGACCCUGCCCACACUCACAGCCUGCUGGCCCACCCUGCAGGGGGACAGCCGGGUGGUCAUCGCCUCAGUUCUGGGCCACAUAAAGGUCCAAAGGAGAGACCCCGGGCGGACUGGCUGGCCACGCGGCCACAGCCUGGUGCCUGCAGAAGAGGCCCGCUGGGUCUAAUCAAUCUCCAGGUGGAAGCGCCCCUGUUAGAGCCUCAGGCCCACAGACCCGGCUUGGGUGGCCGCUCCUCUCUGUGCGGGAUUUGCGCGGGUGAGACCCGUGGGUUUGUGGCAGUCUGGGUGGGGUGUGGUGAUGGGCCCUCAUCGUGGCCAGGCUGAGCGUCCCUCACUGUGUCAUCACGGCAGCCCCGAGUGGCCGGAGCUGAGACCCCAGCCCGGGUACCAAUGGGGAAACUGAGGCUGGGAGAGGCUGCGUGGCCUGCCUGGGGCUUGGUGGCUGCUGGGACCUAGGGCUGGGUUUCGGGGCGGUGGCACGGCUCCGGGGGCAUUGGCUAGAGGGGGCUUGCUCUGGGCGGCCCCCGGGGAGCCUGGCCGGGGUGCUGGCUGCCGCCUGCCCCCCCUGCUGGGAACAAUGCGGCCUCUAUCCCCCGAGCCGGCCCGCCAGGCGGGCCUCCCGCAACAUGGCGCCGGGGCCGCGCCGCCUGUCCACGGGGAGGGCUGGCGCCCGGGCCAGCCCGGCCCCCCGCGUCCUCCUGGGCCGGCUACGCAGUGGCCAGACGCUGCGGCCGCCCCUCCCGCCCGCGCAGGGCCGGCCCCCCGCCCCUCCCGCCCGGUGGUGGGUUUGGGGGUCCGGCCCACCCGCCUCUGCCACGUCUGCCACCCUCCCAGCACCCACGAGCAUCUUUCAAAAAUUCCCGGUGGGCGGGGCCGAGCCGCAGCGGCCGCCUCUGGCCCCCUCCCCGGCAGCCAGUGCCAGAGGAGAACCGGAGACAAAAGUAGCAUUUUCCUCGUCCUCCUGGGCUGGCAGCGGGGCCCUCCCCGGCGCCCCUCGGCUCCCGGCCGCCCUGCCUGCGGGAUGCCGGGGUGGCCGAGGCCCCGGCCACGCCGGCCGGGACCGAGGGGACCGAUGGACGGUGGUGGCCACAGACGAGGCGCCCGGGGGCUGGCACCCGGGCCCGGCCCUGCUCUGCCGGCCGCGGGGCCUGGCCGGGGCGACGGCCGCCGUGUGCACUGCCUUGCUGUGGAGCAGCUCCCUGUCCUCCUGCGCCGGUAAGUCUGCCUCCUCUUCAGUCCUCUCCGCGCUGGAGACCAGCCGGGGGCUCUGCCAUCUUGUGCCUGUUACGUUUGCUUCUCUCUAAUUGGUUACCCGAAAUUCAAAAUUCUAUUUCAGAUCCCCACCCCCCCCCCCAUCUUCAGUGAAGUAAGCCCUUCCAAAAACUGCAGGGAAGAGGCAGAAGCCAAACCCAUUUAUUUUUAAGAUCCAAAGCUACAGGGCGUUCGAAAUCACAAUAAAAAUGAAUGUUUGUUAUUUCACAGUAGCUGCAUGUUCAAUUAUAAUUUGAACGAAUGUUUCGGGAGGUAUUAAUAGGCACGGCCUUCUCUUUCAUGCUCAGCUGUACCGGUUUUAUUUUUAUUUUUUUUUUUGGAGGGGGGAGAUCUCAUUAUUGUUGUGAUUAUUAUUUUAAUUUUCGGCCACACCAGGAGUGGCAAAGGGAAAAAACACCAGAAACAUCCACAGUCUCCCCAGCCAACUCCUCGGAAGGCAGGGCCAGGCGGGCACACGGGAAGCUGGAUUCUGCCUUGAGAAACAGAGGCCCUUUCAUUUUGUCCGGCGUCUUUAAUGCUGCCAUAUCCACAGUUUAGCGAUCCAGUUUCUUUCUCCCUUUUAUUUUAUUUUAUUUUUGGAGAGGGCAAGAAAAGGAAGCUGUUUUCAGCUCUCAGCUUAGUGUGGGAGAUCUCCUAGGUUGUUUUGGGCUUUGUGUUUUAAGCACUUGUUUAAGCCAGGGGUUCCAGCUAACACUGCUAUGCCGGCUCCUAUCCACCCUGCCCGUGGACGGCUCGUGGGGUGCAAGUGUGCCCGUCUACCAGCUCGACCCUCUGGGGCCCUGAGUGGUCCCAGGGCCUGCCUGUGCCCCGAUUCUGCCCUGGUCCCCGACUGGCAGAGCUGUGACCAAGACAUCCCGGCCGUCCGGGGUCUGAGCCCUGGCCACCGGGUUGGGGAGUGAGUUCUGGAAGGCCUCUGAGCUCCCGGACCACACCGGCCCUGCCAUCCGGGAGCUGGGCCCUGUGGCUGUCGGAGUCUCUCCGUCGGGCCCGGAACCUUUCCAUUUAGAAGGUGGGCUUUGCGGAGUUCAGCUCUGAGCUCGCCUCCACCCUCUGGCAGGCUGACAAAAGCGCCCGCAGACGCAGCCUGGUUUCCCCACGUUGGAGGGGCAGCAGCCAGGGUCUUGAUUUAUGGAAAAUGGAAAAUCAGGCCCCGAAAGUUCUAAAUUGCAACCGAGAGGAAAAUUCCCACGUGAAUGCGUUUUUGUUUUCCUGGUUCCGAGGCGUGGGGGUCCUGUUUGUGCAGGCCUGAGCAGCCGGCCGGAGCAGACACCACCAAAUCCUGAAACGGAGCUCGGCACACGCGAGGAGUGUCUGCGGCUGCUUUUGUUCUGAGAUCCGACAGCAGUUGCUCCUGGAGGAUUUGGGGCUGCAGAGACAGGCACACGGAGCAGAGAUAAUUAAAACAUUUUCCUGAUUGUGACAGCCACAUUCUGCUGCUGCAAGCUGGAAGAUCAUUCCACCCAAAUAUUUAGCAAGCACCCAAUAAAACACUGGAGACAAAAUGAAAGUAAUCGGAAAAAAACAGUGUAACAAAUUCUAGAGGCAAAAGAGUCCACAGUACAGAGAGGUUGGUUGGAGGGUUACUGGAGAAGAAGGUUGAUCAUUUUUAAAGGAUUUAUACUUUUAAUAGCUGCCCACUCCUCAUUUUUAAAAAAUUUUAUAUGAUAAAAUUAUAAUUUUCUUGUAAUUAAGUGUAGAUGAAUAGGCCUUUAAUUCUAAAUCCUAGAGUGACAGUCAAAUUUCCUGAGCAUUAUCUCAUCUUCUUUUUGGACAAGGUAGCGCAAGUAGUGUAAAAUCAAUUAAUUUUCAUAAAUAAGCAUUUUCAUUCUAAAUUGGUAUUUUCCACCGAGAUUAUGUUCAUCUAAUGGUUUUGAUGUAUAUGAAUAACACAUUUUCCAGCCUACACCUUGUAUAGUUGGGAUAGUAACAUGUGAUCAGUUAUCAUCUUCAUUUUUUAAUUUGGGUAAUAACACUGUACCUCUCCCAAAUCAGUAAAUUUCCACAGAAUCUUUUUGUUGUUGUUGUUUUAAUCAGGCAAAAAUAUCAGCAUUCUCCAUGGCACCCAGUACUUCUCAGCAGUAUUUUUUUUUUUUAAGAAAGUACCACACAUAGCAGUUUUCACAUCAUCGCUUCUAUAUAAAUUCACUAUAGACUGAAAUUAUACAUUCUCACAGCACAGAUGGGCUGGUCUGUCAUUAUGACUGCCGGGUCCUUGUUGGAACACACAGCAUAUUUCAAUUGUGGAGUCGACAAUUUCGAAGAACUGAGGUCAAAAUAAACAAGUUGCCUUUGUACAUCAAAGCAGCCUUAUUAAAUGAUCUUCUGAUCCCCUGAAACGUUUGGUAGCAGAACAACCAUCAUCUUAUUAAAAUUUAAUUUAAAAUUUGGUCUUCAUCUGCACCUUUUUAAGACUCCAAAUACCCUAUGUCAAAGGACCUCAGAUGUUUUAAUUACCAAUUCUUAUCUUUUUUUGCAUCAUGAACGGCCUAACAGUAAUUUAUAUUAAAAAUUAUGGGCUUUGGGACUUUUGAUUUUAAUAUCUUUAUAAUUUCUAUAGGAAAAAAAUGAAACCUUUCGCUGUUCUGUGUAGACAUUCAUAAAAAUUAUUUUGAGAAGCUUCUGAAAAACCAGAUGAUAAAACCAGAUGAUAAAUGUCUAAAGAUACAUCUAAAUCCAAGCUAAAAAAAAAUUCAACAGGUAAACUACAAAGAGUAGCUAUAAACUUAAAAAAAAUUAUCUCGCCAAGAUAAAGUGCAGAAUUUAUUGGUCCAUAUCAACACACGUGAGGGCAGAGCGGUUUUACAGCCACGAUAAUUUGCAAAUGAUGAUAACUGUUUAUUUUGUGAAUUUGCUCACAUUAUGAUGUAAUCGGUUCGGAGGGCUCUUUUUUCCCAGCUCCUCCUUAUCUUUGAAUGUUUGGUUCUGCGCCUCUGAAUUCCAGAUCCCGGUGCUGCCGCCUCGGAGGCUCUUCGUGGCCGAGAGCAGCUCGCCCGAGUGCGUGCUGUGCUCGGUGAGAUCUGGGUGCUCCCUCUGCCGCGUCCCGAACGCUCCCGACGCGUUCCAUUCGUCAGCAGAAGCGCUUUGUUGUGGCUUAUUUGUUUGAAGGAACAUACCUGUUGGCAGAGAUGUGGGGGGAUGAUAGGAAAAGUGAGAUGUUGAUGAAAUUUACCGGAGUGGGUUGUGAGCUGCUUUCUGCAGCGGCUGCGCUCUUGGGUUGGUGGUCUUUUGUUUUGUUUUGUUUUGUUUUACCACUUUCUCCUUUUCCCAUGUUCGUCUUCGCAGAGGGCAUCAGAACUGGGUUUAGUACGUGGCACUGGUCUGGGGCUCUCAAAGAUGAGGCACAACAAGACAUCCUGUUACCGGGGUCAGAGCCUCAGAGGGAUGGGGUCAGAGCAGGAUGGUGGUGGUGGGCAUGGUCGCCGUGACGAUGCUCCGCUGCGUGCUCCACGCCAGGCUUCUUCCCGUCUGGAAGAGGAGGGUGGCAGAGACCAUGAGCUCGGGAACUCAUGGCCAGGGUUCAGGUUGAGUCCUUUUGAUUUGCUGGCUCUGCUGAUCAAGGUCAAGGGCGAGUUAUUUCCCUUCUUUGUGGCCUCAGUUUCCUCAUCUGUAAAAUGGGGGCAGUAAGUGUCCCUGCCUCACGGUUAUACAGAUACAGCACUUGCCUCGACACUUUCCACAGAGAGCACCCCAUACGUUCCGUUCCUCAUUGGUUUGUUUCUGAGUCUCAGAAGUGCCUGCACGGCAGGGUCACCAGCGCCAUUUCUGCAGGGGAUGAGCCUCAGAGGUUCAGCCAGAUAAUGAGCGUUGGGGUGGAUGUGAACACAGGCCUGUGUGCCUCCUGCGUUGUGAUGGCGUGGACAUGCGCGUCUACACGGCGGCCCAGUGUGGCUCUUGCCAGCCCUUGGCCUGUGUGUGUGCCUUGGUGGCACUGUAGCGUGUGUGCGUACACACGGGGGUCCAGGGCUCUGGGCCAGCCUGGAAGGUGCCUGGCUGGGCAUUCACUGCCCGAUGGAGGGUGGCUGUUCUCCCAGUGCUGGGUGGACAGGCCGCAGGUGCCGGGCCCUGGUGAGUGAAGGAAGGCUCGUGGCUGGGCUGGCCGCGCUCUGGGCCCGGGUCAGGCACCCGCAGUCUCCUUGGAGCGGCAGGCCGUUCCAGACGCCGGCCAUUUGCAGACCCGGAGGACGGGCAUUGGGCCUCCAGCCUAGGAGAGGAAAUGGCGGCGAGGAAGCCCAGGACGGGCCUGGGAAGGCAUCUGAGGGCGGGAGCGGCCGGGUGGCCCGGGGGGCACUCGUCCUGCAGCCAGCGCCCUCCUCCGGGAAGCGGGUGGCAGGGCUGGCUUUCCGUGCAGGCCUGCGCGUGUGCGUGUGUGCUCCCACGUGUGCCGGGCUCCUGGCCCUGAGCGCACACCUGGGAACCCAGGCAGACCGUUUCCCCACCGAACACAGCGGGGACUGGGGGCAGGGUCUGAUGAGAUGCUGUGAACCCCCAGCCUGCCUUCAAGCAGAAAAGGCCUCAGUUCUCUCAUCUCUGAAGUGAGGGAGACAGCGUUGGCCUGGGGGAGUGGCCAGAGGCAGCAAGUGGGGGUCUUGCCUGGAAGCAGGUGGCCAGCCUGCUUCAUCCCAGGCUGCGGCCUCGUGAGAGAAGCAUGGGGCCUGGCUGCUCGGGGAGCCACCUGCCCCUCUCAGCCUCAGUUUCCCCACCCGGAGGCAAAGGGUAAGUCCUACCCACAGUCUUCUUGUGGAGGCAGGCCGUGUCACCUCCCAUGAACGGGAGCAGGUUUUGGGGAGUCCCUGCAGGAAGCUCGCCUCUGGUCCCUUUGACUCUCCGGAGCCUUGAAGGGAGCUGGGAGCGGGGGGGACUCUGGGGGUCCGGCUGCUGCAGCGCGCACAGGAACCUCUGGCCCAGUUUCCUGGGCGCUGGCCCUGCCCGGGGAUUCCUGCGGUGGGUGUGCCCGCGCUUCCGGCUGUGGGUGGAGGGAUCCCAGAGGCGGGCGGCCAGUUCCCGCUGCUCCCGCCCGCCCGAGCCUCCCGGGCAUGCUGCUUCCUUGAACUCGAAGGGACGAGGGGUCCCACCUGGGCCCACCGUGCCGGGUCCAGGCCAGCAGCGCCCCCGACGUGGCGCCAGAGGCCUCCAGAGGCUGAGGAGGGUGCUCGGCGGUGUGGACAGGGUGCCCUCAGCCUGCACCUUUGUCACCAUGAACACACACUCGUAAGUCACCCCGUGUCAGCCCUUGGGAGACUCUCGGCCCUGAUGGGUGGACGGGUGCGUGGGCCUUGAGGGUCUCUGCUCCGGUCCUGGUAUUCCUGCCUGCCCUGUGACCAGUGCCCAGCGAAGCAGCCUCUGGGUAUUGGCUCCCGAGCCUGGCAGCCUGGCAUGCCACCAUGGCCCACCGCCUCGGCCGUGCCACGAAGGUCAGGUACACGGGGAGGGUGAGUGGCAGAGACCUUCUGCCUCAAGGCUGGUCGGGGUCCAGCCUUGUCUCCCCAACAUGGGAGGCCAGUGCACGUCUGAGUUGGCAAAUAAGAGUGAGCUCUCUAGGGUUGGGGGGAGCUGACCUUCAUGGACCUACUAAGUGCCAGGCCCAAGGUCAAGUCCUUGUUUCUCUUUUUAAAAAAAAAUUCAGAAAUUUUUGGCCACUCUGCCCAGCUUGCGGGAUCUUAGUCCCCAACCAGGGACUGAACCCAUGUCCCCCGCCAUGGGGUGUGGAGUUCUGGCCACUGGACCGCCAGGGAGCUCCCUAGGGCCGGGUACUUUAAUCCGCUUCUCUUAAACAUCUAUUUUUAGAUGUAGUCUGUUCGAUUUCAUCUUGUUUGGACAUCCAGUCCGAGCCAGCAGGAGCUAGCGCUGUUCUGGUGGCAGGAUAGGGCACAGACGGGAUGUCCCCCUCCCUGCCCUCGUGGAAGGUGGGUGUUGACGGUUCUCUGAGAAAACUCGAUGCUCACCGAGGCCAAGGAACGUGCCCAGAGACACAGGGCUAGCAGGCGACGGAGCCUGCCCUCAAACCCGGGCCCCUGACUGCAGGACCCAGCAUCUCCCCUGGCCGGCUGGGGACAGCCAGGCACGGGGUCCCUCUCAUGGGUGCCAGCCUCGGGGGGCUCUCCCCGGACGCCGGUCACCAGGAGGUCCUGUCCUCUGGCCUGCCCCAACGGAGAGGCAGGCUUCGCCUCCGUUCUCCCCUCCUGGGUCCUGGGAGCCCCGGGCUGUCUCCACCUGAGCUGCCGUUUCUCUAAGGUCUCAGGCCUGCUGGUUGGACCGGCGCCGCCCCGGAGCGCCCUGCUGGGUGAGGCUCCAGGCCGCUGUGGCGCUUUCUGGCUUGGCGUGGACGACGCACAGCGUGUCAGCGAGGGGUGGGAGGGAGGGAAAGAGUGAGGCUGUAGGCCGAGGUGAUCGAGGCUUUAACACUCAGACAACCGCGAGUCAAACCUUUGGGAGAUGCCGUAAAACCCCCAAACAGGCAAGACCAUUUUGCAGGCUCCAGCGUUCUCAAGAUGGUCCUUUGUGCUCUGUGCCAAGCCCAGACCCUUCCAUCACACCGGGAGCCUGCGGUGUAGACCGGGAGCCUGCGGUGUAGACCGGGAGCCUGGGGUUUCUCUCCGUGGGGCUUGUUGCAGGCACCACUGGAUGUGUGAGGGGCCCUGAGUCUCUCCCGUGAAGAUGUGCCCACCCGAUCUUUGGGUUCCCAGAUCAGUCAGUAGCAGGGUGUCACUGGCACAGCUGGGGCCUGCAUGCCCCACGGCCUGCCCCGGGUCCCAGGGUGUAGGGCUCCUGCUGGCGAGCACCGAGUGCAGGGGUGGGGGGAUGAGCUCAUGGAAACCAGCUCUCUGCAAGCGAACAGGGGCUCCGUCCGGCGUCAGACACCUGCUGCUCAGUCCCCAUCCGAGUGGCUGCCUCCCCAGUGCUCUGCCAGUGACCCUGCGGCUUCCUUGUGUCCUGGGGCGGCUCAGCACCCACUUGAUUCUCCAAGGCACCUCGCAGAGCAGUCGGGGGGGCCAGCUUGGGGCGCAGGAAGGGGACCGGCAGCACUGUCCAGGGACCAGGUGGGGCAGGCCUUGUGGAGCGCCUGCUCACUGGCUGGAGGGCUAGAGCCACGACUGAGGGGUCUGUCCCCAGCUCCUGUGUCUCCCAUGUCCCAGCAAACACGGGUGCCCUCCGCGAGGCCAGGGCUGAGAUGGUGCAGGAGGGGGCUGGGCGCAGCCAGGGGAGCAGAAACUUAGGCUGGAGCGGCCAGUGCGAGUGCCCCGGGGUGGGGGGAAUCUGGGUGGCUUCCUGGAGGUGGCAGACCCGCGGCCCUGGGCUUGUGCGCGAGUCCGGCCCCGGCCUGCCACGUCCCAGGGCCCUGCCGCCCGGCGCCGCCCCUCCCGCCGCCCCGCGCCAGCCCUGCACAGGCCACAUCUGCUGCGGCAAGCCUGCCAGGACUCCACCUCCCGGCUCCGUCCCCAUGGAAACCGCGGGGCGGGGGUCCUGCUGCCUUUGGCCCUCGGACUGGUUUCCAUUAGAGCCAGCCUGCUUUCCUCGGGGCUCCCCCUUGCCCCGGCAGGGGCUUCUUCCCGCAUUUACCAAGUGCUGGCCUCUCCUGUGCCAGGAGGCCCGGCAGCCCGGGCCUGCCCGUCCUGGCGGGCAUCCCUCCGCGGGGUGAGUGCCCAGCCCUGCCCAGGGCCGCGGCGGCUCUCGUCCUAACAGGCUCAGACCCCACCUCCUCUCCCACGGGGCCAGCAGCUGCCGGGGCUCAGACUCUGGACCUGAGUCGGGUACCCCGGGUUCCCGCCCCAGCUGUGCCAGGGAGUCACUGGGGGACCUCGAAGGGGCCCCUUUCCCCCUCUGGGCCUCAGUUUGCCUCUCUGUGAAAUGACGGGGUUGAACUGUUCCUCCAGUUCCUUGGGAUGCCAAAAAGGAAAGAGAAAGAAUGAGAAGAUGAAGCUGCAGCAAGGCCAGCAUUUCUGGAGUCUGUUCUGGGAUUUUUGUUUGUUUUCAAAGAGGGAUUUUAUUUAUUUUUUAUUUUUUUUAAAAAAGGAAGGAGCCAUGGAAUUUGACCGGAGAUCAAAUUUGAGAGGCCAAGAGCCAGCCGGAGCCCACGGACCCAUGACAGGGAGGCCCAGCUGGGCUGCGGGCGGCCAGGGGCCUGUGCAGCUGUGCCCGCUAGGCCUCCUCCUGGCAUGUGCCGGGUGCCCAGCGGCCUGGCUGUGAACACAGUGAGCAGAGGCAUGCACCGUGCCCCCGAUGGAAUCCAGAGGGCUCUGGAAAACUACCCGAGAGGUUUCCGGAGGUCAGAAAUGUGGGCAGAAAGUGCGAUCCAGCUUUAUAAAGAAAGCCAGCUGGCUCUUCCUCCAGGGAGCCUGGUGAGGGGCCCAGGGAGCGGCAAUGCUUGGGUGCCUGUGAAGAGCUCGCCCAGGGCUGCUCCGAGGCUGCUGCCCCAGGCCCCGCCUGGUGCCCCGGUGGAGGCCCUGGCCUCCUCAGCUCUUCCUCUCACAGGAGACUGUGGGUGGUGUCUCAGGGGCAUCUCUGCCCACUCUGCCCAGUGGGUGCUUCGGCUCCUCCCACGAGACCCUCAGCACCCACUUGCUUCUUGUGACAUGUCACAGGCACCUCGGAGGCUGGCACCUGCUUGGUCCCGCUCACUGCUCUACGGGGGACACUUUUCAGCUCAUGACGGGGGGCAGAGCCUUGAGGGCAGGGGGGAGCGGUUUCUGGGAGGUCUGAGCAGACUGCUUUGCCCCCUGGGCCUCUUUGUCCCCAUCUGUAAAAUGGACAGAUUUUCAAUAAGUUCCCCAUAUUUUUUCCUACAUUUGCUUCUUUUUUUUUAUCCUCCUUCUCUACUUCUCAAGGAUAGUGUUAAAAAAAUUAAUACAUAUUUAAGUUACUUAGGGGUCGGGCUUCCCUGCUGGCUCGGUAGGAAAGAAUCCGCCUCCAAUGCAGGAGACACAGGUUCGAUCCCUGGGUUGGAAAGAUGCCCUGGCAAAGGGAAGGGCAACCCAAGUAUUCUUGCCUGGAGAAUUUCAUGGACAGAGGAGCCUGGCGGGCUACGGCCGAUAGGGUCACAGAGUCGGACACGACUGAGCGACUUGGGCACACGCAAGAGCCGUGUGCCGGGGUCGUGUGGAAAUUCAGUGAGAAUCGGGAUCAAGGCUGGAUGCGCGCAGGAGGUGGCGUCAGAACAGUACCCACCCUACACCCUCGCCAAGAACGAGCAGGCUGCACGUCCCCGGCUGUUACAGACCCACGGAGGGGCUGACCCUCCCCCGGCGCAGCUCCAUGGAGAGUAGGGACAGCCCGACCUUCCUCAAGGUCACCCGGAACCCGCUGCCAGAAGGCCCAGCAGCCAUGCCGGCAUGUUGGUGUUUCCUCUUUGUCGUCUGGGCUGAGGGACCGUGGAAGCCCGUGCUCGAGGCUGCCUGGGUUUGCUGACAGAUCGUGGCGACGGGAGCGGCAGCCCAUAGGCCCCGGGGAUGUGGUCGCUGCAGCUUAAAGGGUAGGGGGUAGCACCGUCAGUUUUUUGUCUAAGGCAGGAAUGGAGCUUCAGUUUGAGCAAAGAUGGCACCCCAGUAGCCCCUGCCUCUUGGCACCCCAGCCUGCCCUCACCAGUAAAGUAGGCCGAGGGCGUGAGCUUGGAGGAGCAGCCUGCUGCCCGGGCUAAGGUUGAUUUAGAGACACGGGGAGCCAGGGAUGAUGGAGGGAAUGAAGGGAAUUUCCCCAGGGAAGUGGGAGGGAGAGAGAGAGGAGCCUAAGCGCCCAGAUAAUCACAAAGCCUGGCGCAGUGAUCCACGGCGGGCAGCGGGCUUCCCUGGCUGGCCGCACUGCCGCCUCCUAUCUCAGCCGCCCCCCCCGCCCUGAGCCUGGAGACCCCCGGAUGCCGCCCAGCACCCAUGCUUGAAGCCCCUCUGUGUGCCGGGCCCUGACGUCGGUCAUCGGGGCGACCUCACGGAACCCUGAUGUGCCACCAGCCAGAGAACUGAGUUCUGGAGGCUGAGCCCUCGUUGCACCGGAGCCAGACCAGCCACGGUCCUAGGCCUCAGAGCCGACCCUCUGCCCACAGCUGCGUUCAGGGCCUGGGAGGCGGCCCAUCAGAAAGGUGGCUGGUCAGAUUGGGGGAGGCCCACGGGAGAGGGACAGCCAGGACCGCAGCGUCGGGCAAGAGAAAGAAGGGGCGUUUCCUGGCAUGGAUCUGGGACUGCUCUAUAACCUAGACGAGGGACGCUGGGCUGCCUGGACAGGGCGCCAUGUUGGGCCUGACCUUGGGCGGCUUCCGUGGGGACUUUCCUCUGCUGGAGUCACACCCGUCUCCUCUCCCUCCUGAAAUUCCUCGGGGCGGUCCUCGACUCCCCUUCCCACCACCCCUGGACUGCCCUUCAGCUCUGCUGGCGUCCAGCACUUCCCAGACACCCUCCUCUCUGCCGCCAGACGGCGUCCAUUGUCUUGCCCGCUGCCCCGGUGCCCAUCCUGCAGGCUUGCCUCCAGCUCCUGGCUGCAGUCCAGUGUCCCGUCCGUGGGACUGGAGAGGCCCCCAGCAACCUGUUCUGCCCUCUCCACGGCGCCAUCCCCCACCUCUCCAGACUGCGGUGGAGAAUCGCCUCCACCUGGAAGCCCUCCCUGCUCUGCUCAUGCCCAUUGCCCGCAGAUGUCUUGCCCUGGGAGACUGGGCGCUUCGGGAAGGACGGGGCACAGUCACCAGCCUGGCACAGAGCAGGCUCUUGGGGAGCGUUUCAUGAAUGAAUGAAAUGGAAUCCGGAGACCAAAACAGAAGAGAAGGCUGAGUGCCGACUCCCCAGGCUCUGCACCGGGCGCAAGCCAGCAGCUCACCGUGGCGGCCAGGAGUCUAGGCUCCUGCAGAAACAAGUGGAGAGAGUUUAUUUCUUUUUCCGCCUCCACCAGACACAUUCCCUUUUAGGACGAAUCCGGGACCCGUGGAGCCACACCUCGCCACAAACGGUGCAGUGACGCCCGAGGCUCGGCCUGAGAGUGCAGACGGCAGGGGACGCCAGGCUGUGGGAGGACCGCGCGGCCUCUGGGGGUCCCAGCCGGGAAGACCGGCGAGUCCGGCUGCCCGCGGGUGCCAUGGGGCCCAUUCCUCACCCAUCGCUGGGCGUGAGAGGCAGGAUCCGUCAGCCCGUUGGGUGUCAUGGGCGGGGGAGCCCUCCGCACAUUCUGUUCAGGGGAGAUAUUUCUGACUCACAGAUCUCCUACCCGCUCCUGCCCCACACUGUCACAGUUCCCAGGGGUCCCCUCCAGGGGGUGACGACAAGGCGCAGGACCCUCUGGCCUCUCCUCUCCCCGCAGCGGCUGGUUCCUGACAGGUCAGCCCUGGCCUUGCGGCUUCUCGGGGGGACCUUGCCACAGCCCGUCGUUACGACUGUUCACCUCUGUGAGUCAUGGUGAACGCGGGUGUUGGCGCCCGGCACCCUUCUGGGGCAUCUUUGUCCAGCUGUCGGGGGUCUGGGUCAGCUUCCAUUCAGGCCAUUUAAAGGUGUGCCUUGGGGGAGCUUCCCUGGUAGUCCAGGGCUUAAGACUCCGUGCUCCCGUGCAGGAGGUGCAGGUUGGAUCCCUGGUCAGGGAACCAGAUCCCCACGUGCUGCACAGCUCAGCCAAAUAAAUACGAAAUAAAAUACAUUUAAAAAAGGAAAUAAAAAAUAAAAGCGCGCCUUGGGGAGAUCACUGCCCGGCAGGCAGGGCCCAGCGGCCUCCUGGCUCUGUCGGCUGCCUGCGGCGAGGUCGUGGGCCCGUCCCUGCCCUGCGGUGGGCCUGUUUCUACCCCUGAUGCACCAUCGUUUUGACCUGCACCUGCGACAUCGGGUGGGGCUCUGGAAGGUUCUGAGGGGCCAGAUUUGGGGUAGCUACCUCAGACAUGUGAGUGCCCCUGGGCUCUGAGCUGGGAACCCACUUCUAGGGGUCUCCCUGGGGGAGCAAGGAAAGGUGUCUGCAUAAAGAUAAGAGGUACUCAUCGUCACGUCUCUUACAAAGGUGGGCUUGGCUGUGUGGGCUGAGCAGCUGUGACGAGGUCAUGGCCGGGCAGGCUCUGUGGCUGGUCAGGAGGACACACAGGGCUUAUGGCCACAUGCACGUGCCUCCAGAAUGGCUGCGGGCCCUCAGGGGUGGGCAAGGCCUGCCGUGGGCUGGGUUCACGGAGGAUGCAAAAUGUUCGCUGCCCCUUUCUCCUUUGUUUCCCAGAAUCGUGUUUCUUGAGCAUCUAUUCCUAUUUGUAACUGAAGAAAAAAUUCUUUUAGAUUAUGAAAUUAACCACCAGAGUGAAACUGACCCGCCGAGAUUCUCCCUGUGUGUUCUCCCUUGAAGGAAAACGUUCCCUGGGGCACCGGUGCUCACCGGUGGGGCCGCACUGUCGUCCCGGCGCCUCCUGCCCAUUUAGAAGGAGCGGAGGCAGCUUGCCGGGAGGGGAUGCUCUGACAUGGGGUGCCCCCGCUGCCAAGGUGGCGGGGCCGCGGCUCCAAGCGGGGCCCAUCCUGGCGCCUGAAUGUGUUCAUGGUGUUCUGAGUCUGUAGCCUGGGAGGAACCUCUAGGACGCGCAGGGCGGUUUUGCUGUCUCGCUACAACCGGGCUCUUUCUCUGCUGUUCCAGGUACCAUCCUCGGCUAUGGUGACCCCCACCCAAGGUGUGAGCCUGGGAGCGGCCGGCCUCCUCCGCCGGACCAACUCGGUGACGAGCCUGCUGUCGCUGGUGGCCUUCGGUGCGGACCCACUGUGUGCCUGCCAGGCUCUCGGGAACUCCACAUUCGUGUGCUCAGACAGACAUCAGCUUUGGAUGGUAGGUAUAAAUGGCUGCUUCUGAAGAUACAGAAAGGAGGCCUCGAGAGGCCAGGCUUCACAGCCCAGAAGGUCCUCUGUGGCUCUGAUUGGCUCUGGAGCCUCGGCUUCUCCCCUGGGCUGGCACCUCUGCCCCCAGAUGCUGUGUCUUAGAAGCCUGCACUCACCGGCACCCUGCCCACACUGCCUUGCCCUGGGAGCCGUCAGCCUCCCAAGGCCCUCCUGGAGCUGUCUCGGCCACAGUGGGGUGGCAGAGUGGGGCACGCACCCCCGGUCUGUGCAUCUGGGACCCCCCCCCCCGGCGAGGGCGGUGCUGAAAAACGUGGCCCGCAGGCUCGCCUGCCGACCUCUGACCCCUCCUGCCCUGUCUCAGGCCCCUCCGAGGGCUUGAGUCCUGGCACAGUGCCACCUAGGGUGCCCGCAGCACCUCUGCCCACGGUUUGUUAGCACUCGGCGUUUCCAGGAAGGACGUUUCUCCCACACAUGGCCUCUGAGAGGGGCCGGGUGGGCUGCUGCAGGCGCGUGUGCCCAAGGCAGGGCUGAGCCCCCGGGGGUGCUGCGUGCCGUGGGUCUGAGCCCUCAGUUUGGCCGACGGGAGUUCCUGCCGGUGGCUCAGAGCCUCCCGCCCCGGGGCCUGCCCACAGCUGUGUCCAGUCAGGCCCAGCCCUGGUGGGUCGGCCAGCUGUCAGACGAGAGGCUGCAGGCGCCAGAGUGGCCGUCUGUGGCCUGGAAGGCGCAUGGAGGGUCAGCGGCGGGUGCGCACUCUCUGCAGUCUCUGGUCUCUGGGGAAAUCCUAGGAGGGGAGCCCCAUUGCUGCCCGUUUGUCGCAGACGAGGAGAUGGAGGCCCGGGGAGCCCGAGGGGCCUGUCCAGGGUGGCAAGCACAGAGCUGAGGUGGAGCCCUGUGGCCCCGGCCCCCGUGGGUGGACGCAGGAGUGUGCCAGUAUCCAGGGAUGCUCGGGGGCUGGGGGGGGCGGGGAGGGCCUUCCGGCACCCCGCUGGGCCUGGUGCUGGUGCCAGCAGGCUCCGCUGGCCUCCGUGGGCCAGGAGCUUCCAGAGGACAAAACUGCCUCUGGACAGAGGACCUGCCCCCGAGCGACCCCUCCGUGGGGCAGGGGCUCUGAGAGCCGCGGGCCCCUGUGGGAUUCCAGGGCUGAGAGGGAGAGCCUGAGUGCGAGCCAGCCUGGGGUUUGGGACUUUUCCUCCUGUUGCCCGUGAUGUCACAGCCCUGCAAGGGGGACGGGCUGUCCCGUAUCGUGGGGGAGGAAGCUGGGCCGGAGAGGGGCAGUCCUGUGCCUGGAGUCACACAGAGUGAAGAGGCGGUGGGUCUGACUGACUCUCCUGCCUUCCCAGUCCCCGCACAAAACAGGGGCUUGUGUCCCCAAGGGGCCUCAGCUUGCGGUUCACUCGUGACCCCGAGACAGGCUGAGGCCCCUGGCCACCCUUCUAGCUCAGCAUGUGGGCCGGCCCAUCAGGAGAGGCUCAGGCCCUCCCCGGGGCCACUCUGCACUCCCAGGACAGCCUUAAAGGCUCCGAGGGCAGGUGACAUGCCGUGGGUGUAACCCAGGAACACAGGACUGUGAGGCGCAGAGGGUGAGGAUUGCUGCCCGAGGGAGGUGGCUCUGCCUGGCACCUCUGUGUGCAGAGCGCCGGGCCGGGGAGCCCGGCGGUCAGCCAGCCUGGUGGUUCCGUGGGCGAUGCUGGGCGGGUGGGUGAAAGGAUUCAGGGGUGCUGAGUGCCCAGAGGGAGGGCCGCCUGUAAAUGCUGCUGUGAAGGGCGCCCUGGCGCCAGAAAAGUCCAGCGGGUGGCUGUCCCUGUGAGCUUUCUGGCUGUGGCCGCAUGCCACUCCUGCGACGCUCAGCCAUCCAGCCAGGGUCCCUGGGCCGUCCCCGGGCCUGCAGCGGGAGCUCCCAAGCUCUCGGGUGGAAACGGCAGCCCCAGGUGUGCGCCUCUGGCUGGUUCUCCCCUGCUGAAGGCGGCCUUGUGCCCUUUCACUUCCCAGCUCCUGUGCCCUGGAGGUCCAACUUCUGAUGCCAACAUCCACAGAGAAAUACUGACCUGGGCUGUCUGCAAAAACCGGGGUCUCGGCCGCUGGGCCGAGGGCAUUCACUGUGGCCCACGGUGGAGCCCUCUGGCUGCGGCCGGGCCACAUUCGCUGUCCAGAGGGAAGACUGGGUGUGUUGCUGUCAGCGCCCCGAGUUGGUGGAGGGUCCUCGACCCGUGGGGGCCCGGAGCUGCUGCCCCGUUGCUCCAGGGAGGGCGUUGGGGCCCCCCGAGCCCAGGGGCCACACGGGGGGGCUGUCACGUGGACCUCCUCACUGGGCAGCGGGGGUUCGCUCAGCCCACCCUGCUGGGGGGUGGGCAGGAGGGCCGUCCCUUCUGGAGGCGGGGUAGGUGCUCCCCGCUCCCAUAAAUAGGACCGUAGGGAUGGGCCUGCUGGUCCAGUGGCUCAGACCCCGUGCUCCCCGUGCUGGGAUCCCUGGUCAGGGAGCCAGAUCCCACGUGGCCGCUGCUAAAGACGCUGCACGCUGCAGCGAAGGUGGCAGACCCCGCGGACCACACCCUGGCCCAGCCACACACGUGUUGAAACCAACAGGACGGUGGUGGGCUCGAGGCUGGCAGCCCACGCAGGCGGCAGCGGCCAGGCCUGGGCUGACCGCCCGGCCCCGCGCUUCUCUCGGAAUCUGCUCGGGGCUCCGGGGCACAGACCUUGGCGCCCCAUCCCACAGUCGGGGAGAGGGUUCCGUGAGAGCCUGGGCAGCGAGCGAGCAGGAGUCAGGACGAGAGCCAGUGCUGUGCGAUGCGGGGUCCUGCACCCGUGCCACAUGUAGGUCGCAGGCGGUGGGCUCCCAGGGCCCUACCUCUGUCUCCAGAGAGGGGGUGACCUUGGCACAGCCUCUGAGGCAUCGUAAGGCCUGGGCACAUCCCAGGGAAGCCGCCACCAGGUCCCCUGUGGACCCUGAGGGCCUUACACGUCCCACACGUGUCCCGCGACAGUCAGAGUCAGAGGCACUGCUGCAGAGGAGGGCGCCGAGCUGCUCCAUGCCCCGGACCCACACGGCUCCCACCUGUCCACAAGGAGCACGGCCCCAGCCCUCAGGCGACAGGCGCUCCCGAGAGGACCGGGUCUGUGGGAGCCGCACCCUUGCGCCUGGGCGCAGGGAGGCCCCGGUGUGCUCCUGGGGACGGGGCGCCCCAACCCACCAUCGUCCCGGCCACAGCCUCCCACUGGGCCUGGCUCAGAGACUCCAGAAGGAGAGCCCUGGGCGUCUGUCCCCGGCCUGGCCCGAGGCUCACGGCCCAGCAGAACGCCCAGUCGUGGCGGGUGGGACUGCGUCUGGGUUUGCCUUUUUGUCGGCACAGAGGAUGUGCCGUCCCUGCUCUGGGAGCGCCGUGUGCCUCCUGCGGCCUGAGCCCAGGCUGGGCGGGAGCAGAAGGCUGAGCCUGGGCUGCCGUCGGCCGAGUGCCGGCUUCCGGGUCUCUGCCCGGCCUUCUGGUCCUUGGGGUGCCCUGGACAGUCAUCCUAGGGUGUCCCCGUACUGGCACCUUCGGGAAGGACACAAAGUCACAACUGCACCGUCUCUUCCCAGGUAGCAGGCGUGGUUCUGAGGGUGGUGGUGUCCAGUUGCUAAGAUUCUCUGUGACCCCACAGACUGCAGCAUACCAGGCCUCCCUGUCCUUCACCAACUCCCGGAGCUUGCUCAAACUCAUAUCCAUAGAGUCGGUGAUGCCCAUCCAACCAUCUCAUCCACUGUUGUCCCCUUCUCCUCCUGCCCUCAGUCUUUCCCAGCAUCAGGGUCUUUUCCAGUGAGUCAGUUCUUCACAUCUGGUGGCCACAGUAUUGGAGCUUCAGCUUCAACAUCAGUCCUUCCAGUGAAUAUUCAGUUGACUUCCUUAGGAUUGACUGGUUGGAUCUCCUCACUGUCCAAGGGACUCUCGAGUCUUCUCCAGCACCACAGUUUGAAAGCAUUAGUUCUUCGGUGCUCAGCCUUCUUUAUGGUCCAGCUCUCACAUGCAUACGUGUACUGGAAAGACCACAGCUGUAACCACACAGACCUCUGUCGGCAGAGUGAUGGCUCCUUAACAUGCUUGUCUAGCUUUGUUGUAGUUUUUCUUCCAGAGAGCAAGCAUCUUUUAAUUUCACGGCUGCCAUCACCAUCUGCAGUGAUUUUGGAGCUCGAGAAAACAGAUUCCGUGGGGGCAUUUGCAGGCCUCCUGGGUGCUGGGCACCAUGCUGGGCGUGAGGGCCACACAGCUGCUAAGAGGUGGUCUCUGCCAGGCUCAGGAGCUGGAGCCUGAGGGGGGACAGGUAGCAAGAGCAUCUGUGAGCUGAUUUCAAGGGACCGCCGCCUAUUGCUGGAGCUGACCCCAUUGCUCCUGACGCAGGUGGCCCCCUGGAGGAGGUGACCUAAAGGAUGGGUAGGAAUUAGGCCUCUGAUGGCAGAACUGGCCCCAGGUGCCAGCUGGUGGGUGCCAAGGCAGGGCCAGAGUGAAGAGGGUGGGGCUCCACGACGUGGCAAACUCACCAGCCGCCUUCCUCUGCAGAUUCUGGAGGAUGUGCGCGGCUGGGCUGCGAGGGAGCCGGUGGGUGGGUUUGCUUCUGAGCGCGAGUCUCAUACCAGGAGGACGACGGGGCAGUCAGACUGACAGGAGAGGUUUCUCGGUGAGGCCCUCUGCCUCUAAGGCCCCCGGUCUCUGGGUGUGGAGGCGCCUCCUCAGCAGUGCGCGGAGGGCCGGGCGACCUGCAGGUGCAGUGUCAGACGGGGUGGAGUGGACGAGGGCAGGGGCAGAGGCCCGCUGAGCCCCUCCGUGCUUGGGCUGUGAGCCGCCAGACCUGUGGGGCUGACUCCUCGCUCACUUUGUUUCUUGUAGAACGUGGCUGAGCACCUCCGGCAAACUGGACGCCUGUCGUGGCCUUCGAAGACGCUCCAGCACCACGUGGCCGGUCCUUGCCCCGUGUCUGGCUGGCAGGGCAGCCCAGGAGGUGAGCGGCCCGGCCGGGAGGGGAACAUGGACUGGUCUCGGGUGACCCCAGCACCAGUCCUUCCUUGCAGGCCGCAGCUGGCAGCCAGCUGGGCCCACCUUGCCCAGACUCCCCAGGGGUGCCCGCCUCACCACCAGGAGCUGGGGAGUAGAGCAGCUGACUGCUGUCUGCUGUGAUCCCGCCAAGCCCCGCACCUGCCCUGUGGGCACAGCCGUGGCCCUGGCCAGAAUCCUCAAAGCAGACAGAAUCAGGGAGGCUGCCUGCCCCCUCCCCCCCGGGGUUGCUGCUGCAGAGGCUCCCCUGAGACCACUCUGCAUUGUCAGUGCCCGCAGCCCCCAGACCCCCUCCCACAAGCUGUCUGGCCCGACAGGCUUCUCUGGAGCCCUGAGUCUCGGUUUACCCUUCUGUAAGACUUGGGCAGGAAUACCUCCUAGCAGAGUUUGGGAGUGCAGAGUGAACCCCAGCGCACCCAUGGCUUCAGCAAGGAGGCUGGGGGUGGAAACCAGUCUUUGCAGGGGUUUAUGAUCCACUGAAGGGCUUCCCUGUGGCUCAGACGGUAAAGAAUCUGCCUGCAAUGCAGGCGACCUGGGUUCGAUCCCUGACUCAGGAAUGUCCCCUGGAAGAGGGCAUGGCAACCCAUUCCAGGAUUCUUGCUUGGAGAAUUCCACGGACAGCGGAGCCUGGUGGGCUACAGUCCAUGGGGUCAUAAACAGUUGGACACAAACUGAGCGACUAACACUUCCACUUUUUCACGAUCCACUGAAAGACCUCCCCAACCGGGCGCCCUGCUGGCCUCGUCUCCGUUUGCUGGAGCAAGAAGAAGGCAUGAGGCAAGGCAGAGCCAUCACUGCCCUGUGCAGAACGGGGACUUGGCCGCAGCCUCAGCUCCAGGCGGCUCAGGGAUUUGUUGGCAGCACCCCUGGGGCAGCCAGCAGUGAUUCGGUGGCCCAGGAACCCUGGCCUGCUGUGGCUACUGACCACAGGCUUUGGGUCAGUUUCGCAGGCUCGAGAAGGGCGUGGAGGUGGCCCUCCGAGUGAGGACUCUGCUGGAGGUGGCUGAGUGGGGAGAGGGGACCUCUCUGAGGCCUCAGAGUCUCAGCGGCUUCAUGCUGGCUGUGGGUCUGUUUACACAUCACCGGAACAGAUGGCCCACCCGCCUGGGGGCACCCCAGGCCCCCGAGGUUCUCCUGGCCCGUGGUGUCCCCCCGAGAGGCUCUGGGUGCCCCUGAGCUGUGCUGGGCGCUGUGGGGUCUUGGGGCGCAGUCGCGGGGAGGGCCGAAGCCAACAGUGCAGACGUAGGGUGCGCGCUUACCCACAGCUGAGCCAGCAUCUCUCUUCUCCCAGGCCUCAUCCCUCAUCCCUCCGCCUGGACGCCUCGGUCCUCAGCUGAUGCCUGGAGCUCGGAUGGCUGUGCCCGCCUCAGGUCAGGGAGCGUGCGAAUGUUGGAACUCAGAGCUCCCCACCCGCUCCGACCGGCGCCACCCUGGACUGGGUAUGUCUGAGGGAACACAGACGUGCAGCACAUGCCCGUGUGUGUUGAGGGGGUGGUCACCGGGCCAGACGGCAAUUCUCGCCACUUGCUCGGGUUCAGCUGGGAGUGCGCUCCCCGCCACCUGCUCUGCCCUCCCACCAGCCUCUUUCUGUGGCCCAGGGUCCAGGGUGAGUACGAGGUCAGGGGCUUGCCGAGGUCUCCCCCAGGCAGCUCGACUCGGGGCGUGUUCCUGGCUGGCCCCGGUAUGUAUGGUGGAUGAAGCCCACUUGGCAAGGAGGCAGCCGCUGUAGGAGGGUCUGGGCUGCGAGCGGGGGACUGGUAACCUCUGGGCAGAGCUCGGGGCUCAUUGCGUCAGGAUGUCCCACCCUGCCCCUCUUGGCCCCGUGCCUUGAGGGAGCUGUCGUGCUCCAAGUUUGCCGGGCCCCCGGCCACACCUUGCCCCUCCCAGGAGCCAGCCUGCACUGCCAACUGUCGGGCCGCCUUGGCUGCUGCCAGCCUCCUAGAGGGUCACGGGGUCCGUGAGGGUCAGGGCCGGACUGUCGGCCUCUCCCUCUGCCCUGCCUGGUGCCAUGGCCCAGGACGGGCCUGCCUCCCAGGUCUGCCUGGAGAGGGCCCGGGACCCCUCUGCCAUCUGGGCCUCGCGUGUUUACAGGCCCAGCCUGCCCGCCAGACUCCGCAGACGCGGCCCCAGGGCUUUUGUGUCUGCACGCAGAGCCUGCACCAGCCGCUGCCUGAGGGCGGGGAGGGGGCGGCCCCCCUGGGGGACAUCAGGGACGGGGGAAAGAGAGACCUGGCGGGAGUGUGACAGCAGAGGAGAGAGCAAAGGGGUGGAGGCAGAGAGCAGGCCAGGCCCGGGGAAGGGCGACGCCAGAGCGAAGGACCGGGGGCCGCCAGGCCGUCCCCGGGGAGACAGGGCCGCGGGCUCCGCUCACGGCUGUCCAGUGCGGCCCUCUCCGGGGCACUCCCUGUGGACUCCCCCCAGCCUCCCAGCGGAGACCCGGCCCUGAGAGCUGGGUCCAACACCUGGGCUGGGGCACCAGUGUGCCCCUGGGACCGACCGCCGGGGCCUGGCAGACACGCAGGAGGCCGUGAGGGCACGUCCCUGAGUGUGUGCGGGGCACACGCCCUGCUUCUGCGCCCCGUCGGCUUUGGCCCACCCCAGCCCAAGACUCCACAAGGCCUGGCCCAGCUCAGGGGCAGCCAGAUCCUCUCGGGGCACCACGGGCCAGGAGAACCUCGAGGAUCUGGAAUUCCCCCGGGGCAGGGGUCGCUGAGGGACCCUUUUUCCAGGCCGUGACCCCAGACACCCAGCAAUCUCAGGCUCAGCACGUACAGCUUCUCAACGUGGCUCUGCCAUGGGGUGCUGGGCCCUCCACACAGGCCUGCGUGUCCUGUGGACCCACAUCCAUGCAAACCCCUAAAGAGCCAGCAGGGCAGCCUCUAUCCACAGGUCCCCAGGGCGCCAGGGAGAACAGGGACAAUUCCCUGCAGAAAACCGGCCACCAGUGGUACUGACUGGGCCCCACGUGGCUCCCGCCCAGCAUGGGUGGAGCACCAGGGUGGGCAUAGGGAAAGAAGCCAGGGCGCUGCCUGGGACCCAGACCUGGACACAGGCCCUGCCUGGCUCUACACGUGCCCGUCUCCAUCAGAGCACAGGCCCGGCUGUGCCCCCAGAUGUGUGGGUAGCGUCUCCCCUGCUGGCUGCAGCGAGGUCCGUGCUGACCCCCUGGACCUGUCUGCCAUCUUUAAAGUGAGACUGGUCUCCAUCCUGGGUUUUCCCUCUGCAGGAGCAGGGAGUGGCAGUGGCCGGACUCGGCGCCCAGAGCAGGGUUGCUGGGCUCUGCCUUACGUCUGGGGUUCUGAAGCAGGCACUGGCUGACCGGGGGAGAGAGACGCUCCUCUCGUCCAGAGGAAGCGGGGAAGGGGCUCCCCAGAAGGGACAUGAGUCAGGCAAGCAGGACAGGAGUCUUGAGGCGCCAGAGGAGGCCGGGGCUGUUGUGGGCGGCUCUGCCCGGGUCAGGCAGGGUCUCAGUGCUGCAGGCCGUCAGGAGAGCUGAGGCUGCACACCCCUGGGGUGCUUCCUGGCAGCUGCCCCUGUGCCCCCUUCCCCCUGCACUGGACAGGCAGGAGGCGCCAGCCUGGACCUCGGUGGGGUGGCUGUGCCGGGUGUCCCUAGGAGGCAGGAGAGCCCCUCAGGCCACUUGGUCAGAGGCGGCCCCAAACCUCAGGCCAGUGAGGACCCAGACCCCGUGAGGCAUCCCUUCCGGGGGCCACCCAAGGGCAGUAGGGCCUCUGGCGGCCGGGUGACCGGGAGCUCCGGCCGGAGGAGGGUCCUGGACGCCGCGGCCCGGCCGCUUCCCGAGUGGACGGCCGCCUCCUGCCGCGGGCGCCCGGCCCUCCGCGCCGCCGCCUUCGUCUUCCCAGAGCCGCACAAGAUGGCCGCCGCCCCCGCCAUUUUGUGACGAGGCCGCGGCCGGCCGGCCCCGCGCGCCUGGCCCGCGCCCAGCCCAG